rnacentral:rRNA from 1 species
CCUACGGGUGGCAGCAGUGAGGAAUAUUGGUCAAUGGGCGCGAGUCUGAACCAGCCAAGUCGCGUGCGGGAUGACGGCUCUAUGGGUUGUAAACUGCUUUUAUACGAGAAUAAAGUGCGGUACGUGUCCUGUUUUGUAUGUACCUUAUGAAUAAGGAUCGGCUAACUCCGUGCCAGCAGCCGCGGUAAUACGGAGGAUUCAAGCGUUAUCCGGAUUUAUUGGGUUUAAAGGGUGCGUAGGCGGUCGGAUAAGUUAGAGGUGAAAUCCCGAGGCUCAACAUCGGAAUUGCCUCUGAUACUGUUCGGCUAGAGAGUAGGUGCGGUAGGCGGAAUGCAUGGUGUAGCGGUGAAAUGCUUAGAGAUCAUACAGAACACCGAUUGCGAAGGCAGCUUACCAAGCUACUUCUGACGUUGAGGCACGAAAGCGUGGGUAGCAAACAGGAUUAGAUACCCGGGUAGUC